UUGAAACUUCAUCCGGGGCGCCGCGGCCCUCAGCACCGGUGGAAACGCCGUGUUGCGGGGGCCGCGCGUGCACUCGUCCAAACCAAACCCCUGUGAACCUUACGGGAUGGCCUGGGUUAGCGCCCGGUGCCGUUCCGCUUUAUACAAACACUUAUCAAAGAAUGAACUGAAGGCGGUCUGACCGCUGGAUAACAAACUGAAA
rnacentral:misc_RNA from 2 species